AGGUGCUCCAGAUCAUCAUAGGUCUGGCAAUAGUCUCUCUCAGCCUCAGACCUCUACCUCUUAAGGAUUUUAAUCCUCCCCUCGAGGUCUUCAAUCUUCCUAUCGGCCUUAGAUUUCUAUUGUUCGAGGGCCUCAAUCCAUCUUUCGACCUAUCGCAGUUCUUCAUCCCGAUAGAGAAUCGACUCCUGGGCCUCCUGAAAAGUCUCUUUUGUAAGGCUGAGCUCUUUGGCUAGCUCAGGAUUAUCCCUCUCUAGAUGUUCUAACUGGUACUUCAGCAAAUCAAUCUCUUCUUUCUCCAUCGUCGGAACAUCGGGGUCGGAACUAAUGAGGCUCAUCAGAUAUUGGCCUACAUGUGCAAAGGAUCUUAAAGCGUCGGC
rnacentral:lncRNA from 1 species